UGUACCUUUACCAUAUAUUGGCUCUUAACACAGGGGAGUUCGUUAGAAGAUAAGGUAAGUUAAGUACAUGCUAAAGAGUGUAUACCGUAAUUUCGGGUGACUUUGGCCCGCCAGGGUGACUUUGGCUCAUUUUGGGAAAAAUAUAUUUUAGCAACUAGGGCAAUUGUACAAUAAAUUAUCAAGUAAAUUUCAUUAUACCGCACCAUCAGUACCAUAUGAACUGUUUGAAAAUUUUAAUAAAUUAUGCUAAUACUUGUUAUGUUACGAAAAAAACGAAUUUCUAAAAUUUGGUCAUUCCACAUAAGAUUUUUUGACUGCAAAAAUUGGUUGGCAACCAAUAAUACUUCCAAGAGUAAGAUUAAUUGCAUAGUGGCAUAUUGAAAAUCUGUGAAUUCUUAACCUCCGUGCAUCGUUAUUUCAGUCUAAACAUAGACAGUAAGACGGUCGGAUAUUAUUUUGCAAGGUGCUACAAAAUUUAACGGUUUUCGGGUGACUUUGUCCCAGUUUGUUGAUUGUUGGAUUUUGGUCAUUGGUUGCUUCUAUAUUAAAUUAAAAUACUUCGUCUAAUUCUUCAUUUAGUGAGAGCUAUAGGGAUAAUGAAGAUCUACAUAAGCUUUCCAUUGGAGUUGGAGACUUCGUAAUUGUAUCUGACUACUUUGACAGCUUUCCAGGAAAAUUCGAUGGAUUUGUAAGAGGUAGUAAUAACUGUUACGGUUGGGUGCAAGUAAUGGUACUGGGUGAAAGAAGUUUAUGGCAAUGGCCCGAAGUCUCCGUAAGAAAAUCCUACCACUUGGCUAAUGUUGAUUUCACUGAGCCAUUGGAACUUGUAGAUAACCGAUAUUUCUUUCCAGAUUUAAAAAAAAGCUUGUAAAUCGUUUUAUUGUUCAUUUUUUGUUAAGAAAUGAUGUUUUUUGUUAACCUAGGGUCCUAUGUAAAGUUUCAUGUUAGUUUUAGUUUUUCAUUGUUUGAAAUUUAAAUAAAUUUUUUUCACCUAACAAAA
rnacentral:lncRNA from 1 species